rnacentral:hammerhead_ribozyme from 1 species
AUCCAACUGACGAGUCUCAAAUAGGAUGAAACGUGCAUCCUGGAU